GUGAAUCAUCAAAUUUUUGAACGCAAAUUGCACUCUCUGGUAUUCCGGAGAGUAUGCCUGUUUGAGGGUCAGUUUAAUAAAAAUCGGUUGUUUGUUGCCGCUUUCCUUGGUAAGGCAUCGCGUUGGGUUGGUCUUACCUUCGUUAAAUUAACUUAAAUUUUUUCUUUAUUUUUGCACGUAUUUAUAAAUUUUUUGUACGAUUGUUAUUUU
rnacentral:misc_RNA from 1 species